CCUACGGGUGGCAGCAGUGGGGAAUAUUGCACAAUGGGGGAAACCCUGAUGCAGCGACGCCGCGUGAGUGAAGAAGUAUUUCGGUAUGUAAAGCUCUAUCAGCAGGGAAGAAAUAGCGACCUUUGGGUCGCCAGACGGUGCCUGAUUAAGAAGCCCCGGCUAACUACGUGCCAGCAGCAGCGGUAAUACGUAGGGGGCAAGCGUUAUCCGGAUUUACUGGGUGUAAAGGGAGCGUAGACGGCAGAGCAAGUCUGCAGUGAAAGGCCGGGGCCUAACCCCGGAACUGCUUUGGAAACUGUGUAGCUAGAGUGCAGGAGGGGUAAGCGGAAUUCCUGGUGUAGCGGUGAAAUGCGUAGAUAUUAGGAGGAACACCAGCGGCGAAGGCGGCCUACUGGACUGUAACUGACGUUGAGGCUUGAAAGCGUGGGGAGCAAACAGGAUUAGAUACCCCUGUAGUC
rnacentral:rRNA from 1 species